rnacentral:sRNA from 1 species
AUUCAAAAGUAAGAACAAGAAGACCUGAUUCAUCAUGAUUUAGGAAUGGCUUGUAGGAUAGACUGGGGACAUAACCACACACUUUUUGCUUUCAAAAUGUAUAACUGAGCAGUUAGCAGUUAGCUGUCUUUUGUUUCCAACCUAAUUCAAUUGAGAAGUGAUAUAAGAGGAAAGAAAUAUCCCAAUUGCAGAGAAGUCUUCAGUCAAGUCUCAAGAUAAUUUUUUUAAGUGAUGUCAAUGACAUAAAACAAAGAGGAAAGGUCUGUGUCGUUGCUUAAUGAUUUCACGUUUUUGCCUUCCAGGAGACAGAGCUACUGGAUCUCAGCCUUGUCAAAGAUGCCAGAUGUGGGAGACACGCCAAAGCUCCCAAGGACCCCAAAUUACGUGAACUUUUGGAUGUGGGGAACAUCGGGCGCCUGGAGCAGCGCAUGAUCACAGUGGUGUAUGGGCCUGACCUCGUGAACAUCUCCCAUUUGAAUCUCGUGGCUUUCCAAGAAGAAGUGGCCAAGGAAUGGACAAAUGAGGUUUUCAGUUUGGCAACAAACCUGCUGGCCCAAAACAUGUCCAGGGAUGCAUUUCUGGAAAAAGCCUAUACUAA